AAAACAAAACAGUUCCCUGGAUUUGCUAUAAAGUGCAAAUAAAGUUUUGUUUUGAAUAUUAAUGCGUGAUCAUUGUACAAAAUUAAACUUUUUUGAAUUUGUAUUAGAAGGAGAAUGGUGUAGUUUCUCUAUUUAGUAGUAUGUGGGGGCUGAUUUCCAAAAUUAACGAAAUACUGAUGAAGGCUUUUUGUGUAUUACAUUCAUCUUUAACAACUUUCAAAGUAAUUGUUUAACAGGUCGAAAAACCAAACUCAUUUUAGUGAAACCUCGUAUAUUGGCUCCUUUGGCGAUGUGUAUUUAUCUGUGUUUUUUCAUGACUGAUAAAAGCGAAUUUGCUUCAUCACGAAUGAAAGAAAGAGAUAGAUAUAAUGAGUGUGAGAAAGAGAUGGAAACUGAAAAAUUUCCUGUAAAAGAAAAGUACUUGGGUGUGCAGGUCCGAUCUAACACGAGCAAUAGAAAUUAAUAUUACAAUUUACUGUUAUUAUUAAUUCGGCGCCAUGUUAAUGGGUAGUAUCGAGUGCUAUUAAUUAAUUGAAUUAUCGCGUUAGUUUUCGUAGACUAGUAAAGAAAACUUAUCCGAUAUCGUGUUGUGCAAUCAAUGUAAAUUUGAAGAGUGAUUGGAACGAAAGUUGUACUUAGGAUUAGGAUUACGAGUGGAGUGGAGUAUAAAUGGCACAUCCUCCAGUUUAGUUACCAAAUGAGAGCCACUACAUCACCGGACCAAUUCAAGGAAUGUCUUUACAGGAACACUUCAAUGAAUGGUACAUCUGCCAGUUGAGGCACCAAACAGGAACUACUUCAGCAAUCGGUCAAUUCGAGGAUCGUCUUAGAAAGACACUUCGAGGAAUGGUAGGCAUUUAUUAAUUCUUUUGUUAACAGGUCGUUUGUAUAUCUGUUUCUUAGUUUCUA